rnacentral:rRNA from 1 species
ACUAACACAUGCAAGUCGAGCGGUAACACAGGGAGCUUGCUCCUGGGUGACGAGCGGCGGACGGGUGAGUAAUGUCUGGGAAACUGCCUGAUGGAGGGGGAUAACUACUGGAAACGGUAGCUAAUACCGCAUAACGUCGCAAGACCAAAGAGGGGGACCUUCGGGCCUCUUGCCAUCAGAUGUGCCCAGAUGGGAUUAGCUAGUAGGUGGGGUAACGGCUCACCUAGGCGACGAUCCCUAGCUGGUCUGAGAGGAUGACCAGCCACACUGGAACUGAGACACGGUCCAGACUCCUACGGGAGGCAGCAGUGGGGAAUAUUGCACAAUGGGCGCAAGCCUGAUGCAGCCAUGCCGCGUGUAUGAAGAAGGCCUUCGGGUUGUAAAGUACUUUCAGCGGGGAGGAAGGUGUUGAGGUUAAUAACCUCAGCAAUUGACGUUACCCGCAGAAGAAGCACCGGCUAACUCCGUGCCAGCAGCCGCGGUAAUACGGAGGGUGCAAGCGUUAAUCGGAAUUACUGGGCGUAAAGCGCACGCAGGCGGUCUGUCAAGUCGGAUGUGAAAUCCCCGGGCUCAACCUGGGAACUGCAUUCGAAACUGGCAGGCUAGAGUCUUGUAGAGGGGGGUAGAAUUCCAGGUGUAGCGGUGAAAUGCGUAGAGAUCUGGAGGAAUACCGGUGGCGAAGGCGGCCCCCUGGACAAAGACUGACGCUCAGGUGCGAAAGCGUGGGGAGCAAACAGGAUUAGAUACUUUGGUUAGUCCA